AGUGAACGCUGGCGGCAGGCCUAAUACAUGCAAGUCGAACGGCAGCACAGCAGAGCUUGCUCUGUGGGUGGCGAGUGGCGGACGGGUGAGGAAUACAUGGGAAUCUGCCCAGUCGUGGGGGAUAACGUAGGGAAACUUACGCUAAUACCGCAUGCGCCCUUCGGGGGAAAGCCGGGGACCUUCGGGCCUGGCGCGAUUGGAUGAGCCCAUGUCGGAUUAGCUAGUUGGCGGGGUAAUGGCCCACCAAGGCGACGAUCCGUAGCCGGCCUGAGAGGGUGUACGGCCACACUGGAACUGAGACACGGUCCAGACUCCUACGGGAGGCAGCAGUGGGGAAUAUUGCGCAAUGGGGGAAACCCUGACGCAGCGACGCCGCGUGAGCGAAGAAGGCCUUCGGUUGUAAGCUCUGUUCUAAGGGACGAAGGACUUGGCUGUGAAUAAUGGUCAAGGGUGACGGUACCUUAGGAGAAAGACCCCGGCUAACUACGUGCCAGCAGCCGCGGUAA
rnacentral:rRNA from 1 species